GGCACAGGUACUUUUUCCCUUUUUUGCAAAGAGAAAACUGAGCCUUAGACAGCAUCUUGUCUGGGAUCACACAGAUAAUAGAGUCAGAUAUGGACCUCCCUGCACUGCCUACCUCCCAAAUUUGGGCUCCCUUUGCACUGCGGUGACCCAGAGAAUGUUUGUCCCCUCUGGCCACAUGGCUGUGUGGGCUCAGGUCCUGAUAUAUACAGAGAAAAGAGCCUGAGAUGAUCUCAUUUCCACUACCAACACCCUCUGUAAGACACAAAUGCUCUGAAUGUCGGUUUUCUCCUCUGUAAAUCGAGGCUGAUAAUUCGUGCCCCUCGUGAUUACUGUGUGGAGUUUUGAGAGAAUCCGAUGAGAUGAGAGAAAGUAUUUUGAAAAGUACAACAUGGAGACAAGUACCCAGGAGUGUUAUUAUUGGGGACACUGCGUUCUGAGGAAAAAGCCGAAUUCCUUUGCUUAUAAGGAUUUUAAGGUGACCUUUAACAAGGAGCCAGCUGGGUUCUUAGUUCACAGUACUUUAGAACAUUUUAAUUCCGAGGUUUUGAAAGACCAGAUGGAUCCAGAGAGAAAUACUUCUAGGCAUAGUUCCCAGAAAGAGAAACCGGAGCUCCCCUGCCGUUUGGGGUCGGGGAUCAGACGCUGGCCCAGUUCUCCUCUUCCACCAGCUUUUCGGCCCCAGAUUCAGGAAAUCCCUGCCGUUCCGGAGGUCCUUUCCCACACUGCCUCUCUGCUUCCUCCUUCAAGGAAAUGAGGAGACCCAGGUCCGGGGAUAAUGCAAGAACGACGCCACUGCUCUGAAGCGGGGGAGCGAGUCCAACUGACGACAAAAGUCAUCGGCACCUGACUUCUCGCGAGACUUCCUCUGCACGUUCAUUAGAAGGCUGCGCAAAUCCAGCCCUGCCUGUGGCACGUGACCCUCAGGUAGCUCUCUGAAUGUGAAGGUGCUUUAAUGUAGAUCCCUAGGAAGACCUAUGAGGACGAGAAACUGGGGGAGGAGUUAAAGAGGGAGGAGAGGAGCUGGAAUCAGCAGCCCCAGAUAGAGGGAUUAGCUAAGGACAAAGGAAAGAGAGGUAGGUUUCCAGAUGUGAGAAAUGGGAGCCUGAGGGAGAUAAAAAACAAAAAACAAAACAAAACAAAAAAACAAGGAGAGGGGAGGAAGCAGCUGAAGCUGCAAAUCAAUUAACAGGGAGAUAUUCGGCUUUUUUUUUUUUUUUUUUUUUUUUUUU
ensembl:lncRNA